rnacentral:rRNA from 1 species
UACGGGGGGAGCAAGCGUUGUUCGGAUUUACUGGGCGUAAAGGGCGCGUAGGCGGUUCGGCAAGUCGGAUGUGAAAUCUCCACGCUUAACGUGGAGGGGCCAUUCGAAACUGCUGUGACUCGAGUCCGGUAGGGGAGUGUGGAAUUCCCGGUGUAGCGGUGAAAUGCGCAGAUAUCGGGAGGAACACCAGUAGCGAAGGCGGCACUCUGGGCCGGAACUGACGCUGAGGAGCGAAAGCGUGGGGAGCGAACAGG